rnacentral:lncRNA from 1 species
GCGAGAGACCACACCGCGCAGGCGCAUUCCGUCGAGUCUCCUUAAACACCAGCAUUUAAAUAGCUCUCGUUUAAAGGAACAGGCGAGUAUUGCCCUGCAGGCCGGAGGAUUCCGAUUCGCUCCGGGCUGUAUAGCGCUGUUGGACGGGUUGUGGAGGUACAGUGGGCCGCCCAGCCCCCGGCAGUGCGGGUCACACUCACUCGUGUUUGCACGGGACACGAGGCCCCCCGGAGAAACGCUCUGACGCUCUCGCCCUGGGGACGAUGUCGGACAAGCACGGCGUCCCCCGCACGACGGAGAUGGAGUUCGGGGGAACGCUGGGUAAGAGCCGCGCACGGGCGAAGGGUGGGGGGC